AGUCGUAACAAGGUUUCCGUAGGUGAACCUGCGGAAGGAUCAUUAUAGAAUUGGUAGCUCUGCUACCGUAACUAUACCAUACUGUUAACUUACUCGUUGCCUCCCCAUCAUAUGGGCCCUCUGGUUUUACUGGUUGUGCUCGAUGGGGACAUUAUUUUAAACAUAUUUUGUAAAUAUUCUGUAUCAUUAUAAUAUAUAAUAUUAUAAAACUUUCAACAACGGAUCUCUAGGCUCUU
rnacentral:misc_RNA from 1 species